CUUCUGUUUUGUUUGUAAAUAUUGUAGAACAAUUGAUGUUAUUUUUACUUUGAGAUGUAUGUAAGUUGUGCAUUCUUCAAGCUUGAUGCACCGCAGUUGUUACAAAUUUUGUAAAACAUUCCAAAAACAGGAAGAUGUAUGAAUUGUGCCACUAUUGCCUACCAACGAUGAGUGUUUCAAGAAACGAUACCACAAAUCUAUAAAAAAGGUGGAGUAUCUUACAUACACGAUAAGAAGUGGAUCUUUAUAUAGUUAGAAUCCUACAAUAAAGCAUAGGAGAAAAAACAAAUAAUAUUGCAAUAUCGUUUGUACUGCUUGUUUAAUAUCCAAAG